rnacentral:rRNA from 1 species
GGUCAGGAUGAACGCUAGCUACAGGCUUAACACAUGCAAGUCGAGGGGCAGCAUUGGGAUAGCUUGCUAUUCAGAUGGCGACCGGCGCACGGGUGAGUAACGCGUAUCCAACCUUCCUGCCAGUAGGGAACAGCCCGGCGAAAGUCGGAUUAAUGCCCUAUGUUCUUCAAUGCGGACAUCUAAGUUGAAGGAAAGAUUCAUCGCUGGCAGAUGGGGAUGCGUCCGAUUAGCUUGCCGGCGGGGUAACGGCCCACCGGGGCGACGAUCGGUAGGGGUUCUGAGAGGAAGGUCCCCCACACUGGUACUGAGACACGGACCAGACUCCUACGGGAGGCAGCAGUGAGGAAUAUUGGUCAAUGGGCGUAAGCCUGAACCAGCCAAGUAGCGUGCCAGGACGACGGCCCUACGGGUUGUAAACUGCUUUUAUGCGGGGAUAAAGUGCGGCACGUGUGCCGCUUUGCAGGUACCGCAUGAAUAAGGACCGGCUAAUUCCGUGCCAGCCGCGGC